UUUUUAAAAAUUAAAGGUAGUAAUAAAAAUAAAACCAAUAUAUUAUGGCGGUUCUAAUAAAUUAGAGAAACUCGCUUUAUAAUCGAUAAUUCCCGAUAAAUUUAACUUGUUAUAAAUAAUCUAUAUACCGCCGUUCAAAGAUCUAAUUUUUAAUUAAACUCAUAAUAUAUAAAACAUAAUAAAUCAGGUCAAGGUGUAAUUAAUUAACAAGUAAAAGUAAGUUACACUAAAAACAAUUUAAGGACUAAAAGCAAAAACAAAAAAUUAAAAAGAAUUUAAAUGUAAAUUUUAAUUAAUAAUUAAAAUAGAAAUAAUCAGUUAGAACGC
rnacentral:rRNA from 1 species